AAAGCAGGCCGCCUUAUCGCUGCCAAGUAAUUGGGAGAGGAAAGUCCGGACACCAUAGUGCAGUAUAGCGGGUAACGCCCGUCCACUGAAAAGUGAGGACAAGUGCAACAGAAAGCAAGUACAGUUCGGCUGUAGUGAAACCAGGUAAACUCUAUACGGUGAAACGUCAUGUAAAUCGGUGUUUAAGGGCUGCACGCUCAAGCCGAAGGGUAGGCGGUUAGAGCAUUGGGGUAACCCAUUGCCUAGAUAAAUGAUAAGGAAUUCUAAUUUUUUAGUCUACAGAAUCCGGCUUAUGGCCUGCUUUUUUA
rnacentral:RNase_P_RNA from 1 species